CCAGCCAUAGCUCAGUUGGAAGAGCGAAGGUUUGUAACACCUUAGGUCCCGUGUUCGAAUCACGGUGGCUGGA
rnacentral:tRNA from 1 species